rnacentral:rRNA from 1 species
UACGUAGGGGGCGAGCGUUGUCCGGAUUUAUUGGGUUUAAAGGGUGCGUAGGCGGCUUUGUAAGUCAGGGGUGAAAUACUCCAGCUUAACUGGAGGGGUGCCAUUGAUACUGCGGAGCUUGAGUACAGAUGAGGUAGGCGGAAUUGACGGUGUAGCGGUGAAAUGCAUAGAUAUCGUCAAGAACACCGAUAGCGAAGGCAGCUUACUGGGCUGUAACUGACGCUGAUGCACGAAAGUGUGGGGAGCAAACAGG